rnacentral:lncRNA from 1 species
GUCGCUGCAGCGCUGUGAAGUUGAGCCACAUUGUUGAGGCACAAAUCCACAAAACUUUGACAAUCGUUUAAAAUGACUACUUCAUCCAUCUCCUUUACACAUGACCUGCGUUCACAUUUCACGGCACCGAACAUUUACUCAAGGGUUAGCAAAUUCAGCGCAUAAUAUUUCAACUAAUUCUAGGUAUUCACGCUAGCUCAAACCUUACCGAAUUGUAAAUAAAGAGCGAGAAAUAGGAUUAAACUAUAUAAUAUACUCACCUGAAUUGAUCAUUCCACAGAUGUUUACCGUUCUUGUCAACAGCGUCACACAAUUUUUGUACUUGAGUUAUGGCCUUCUCCAAGCCAGUGCCGAAUGACAAAGCCAAUGCAACAGUAGGCCCCACAGUAAGACUCCAAGGUCUUUCGACCAAAGCAAGAUGAAAUGCAAG